UCUGGUUGAUCCUGCCAGAGGUCACCGCUCUUGGAAUACGAUUAAGCCAUGCGAGUCGCGAGGGGUAAGCCCUCGGCGUACUGCUCAGUAACACGCGGAUAAUCUGCCCUGAGGCGGGGGAUAAGCUCGGGAAACUGAGUAUAAUACCCCAUAGGCUCCGGAAACUGGAAUGUUCUGUAGCUGAAAGCUCCGGCGCCUCAGGAUGAGUCUGCGGCCUAUCAGCCUGUAGUUGGUGUAACGGACCAACUAAGCAUUAACGGGUACGGGCUUUGGGAGAAGUUGCCCGGAGAUGGGUUCUGAGACACGAACCCAGGCCCUACGGGGCGCAGCAGGCGCGAAAACUUCGCAAUGUGGGUAACCACGACGAGGGAAUUCCAAGUACUAGUACUUUGUACUAGUGGUUUUCCAGUCCAAAGAACUGGGAGGGUAAGGGCUGGGUAAGACUGGUGCCAGCCGCCGCGGUAAUACCAGCAGCCCAAGUGGUGAUCAUUAUUAUUGGGUCUAAAACAUCCGUAGUCGGCUUAGUAAAUUCUUGGGUAAAUUGUGAAGCUCAACUUCACGAAUUCCGAGGAGACUGCUAGGCUUGGGACCGGGGGAGGUCGGAGGUACUUCGGGGGUAGGGGUGAAAUCCUGUAAUCCUCGAGGGACCACCAGUGGCGAAGGCGUCUGACCAAAACGGGUCCGACGACAAGGGACGAAGCCUAGGGGCGCAAACGGGAUUAGAUACCCCGGUAGUCCUAGGUGUAAACGCUGCGGGCUUGGUGUUGGGGGUCCUAUGUGGGCGUCCAGUGCCGGAGUGAAGAUGUUAAGCCCGUUACCUGGGGAGUACGGUCGCAAGACUGAAACUUAAAGGAAUUGGCGGGGGAGCACCGCAACGGGUGGAGCGUGCGGUUUAAUUAGAUUCAACGCCGGAAAACUCACCGGGAGCGACGGUUAUAUGAAGGCCAGGCUGAUGACCUUGCCAGAUUUUCCGAGAGGUGGUGCAUGGCCGUCGUCAGUUCGUACCGUAAGGCGUUCUGUUAAGUCAGAUAACGAACAAGACCCCUGCCCUUAAUUGCCAGCCAUCCCUCCGGGGGUGGGGAACAUUAAGGGUACCGCUGGCGCUAAGUCAGAGGAAGGAGGGGGCAACGAUAGGUCCGUAUGCCCCGAAUCUCCCGGGCUACACGCGCGCUACAAAGGUCGGGACAAUGGGAUCCGACACCGAAAGGUGAAGGCAAUCUCGAAAUCCGAUCAUAGUCCAGAUCGAGGGUUGUAACCCACCCUCGUGAAGUGGGAAUCCGUAGUAAUCGCUUGUCAACAUCAAGCGGUGAAUAUGCCCCUGCUCCUUGCACACACCGCCCGUCAAACCAUCCGAGUGGGGUUCGAAUGAGGGUUUCUUUAUUGAGGGGCUCGAAUUUGAGUUCCGCAAGGAGGGUUAAGUCGUAACAAGGUA
rnacentral:rRNA from 1 species